GGAGCACUUUUGUGUGUAGGUCCUCGCUGUCGGGUUCACUGUUUAAAAUUAGUCCCAGAGAUUUCAAAAUCAAAAGUUUAUUUAAAAACCUCACGUGUCUCGGUGCAGCGUCUGAACACACAAAGGCACCUCCUUCUAAGAACCUGGUAGACGGACCAGGAGCCUCUUAUCGACCUUUGUGGUCCUCAGUCACCCAUUACCAAUCCAUUACUUUCAGAAAACCUUUGCCCAAACUUUGCAGCCUCCUGAGGCAGUAACUUACAGACACACCUGCUUUUGAAAAAGCAUUUCCUCUUUUAUCCUAAACUCAUUUUGUUUGGAGAGGCCAUACAUAAACAAGAUGAUGUGUCUGAAACCACCUUAUGUAAAUGAGGCAUGGGUUCUCACUAUGUUGCUUAAGCUGGUCUGGAACUCAAGCCAGUCUCUCACUUCAGCCUCUUGAGUCGUUGGGAUUACAGGAGCCACCAUGUCCAACUGUCUUGCUCUAUCACCCCAGCUGGAGUGCAGUGGUGUGCUUAUGACUCACUACAGCUUUGACCUUCUGGGCUCAAGCAAUUCUCCCCCCUCAGCCUCCUGAGCAGCGAGAACUACAGCCCAACUCUGCUUCUCUUCUUACUAAGGAACGAGAUCAAGGGGAUUCCUGUGAGCAAGGUUCUUCCUGGUACCUGACUGGACAACUGGAUGAAGAAGAGGGGAAGAAGGAGGCUGCCUGAGCCCCCGCAAGACAUCAAGUGCCCUCCUUAUGGUGACUGCAGAGAUCCUGGGAAGAGUCAAACAAAUAUUAUUCAAAUCCAGAGGUGUCUCCUGGACCCAAAGGGGUUCACAGAGAGGCAGGAGACUGCUUGGAAAAGAUCAACCUUAAUUGUCCUUGUCAUCCUCCAUCCCCACACUGAAUCCAGAAGCAACCCUGGAAUCCUCCUCAGUUCAGUGUUCAAGGCAUAUCAUCGUCCUAGUCACUGGAGAGUCAAAGAGACAAGAUCUUGUUGCCCAGGCUGGUCUCAAACUCCUGGGUUCAAAUGAUACUCCCGCCUUGGCCUCCCAAAGUGUUGGGAUUGCAGACCUGAGCCACUGUGCCUGGCUGAAUUCUAUUUCUAUUGGAUUGGUUGUAAAGAAGUGCAUUGUAACCUGCAAAGGAGCAGGGCCAGUGGGGUGGGGAGGGCAGAAGUGCUGCAGAGGCCCCUGCUCUCCACUGCCUUCCUCAGCUGCUACUGUGCUGGAUGCCGUGUGAACCACAGCUGCAUUUGGAGGCCUGGGCAGUGACAAGAGGCCCUGAGGGUGCAAGGAUGGAAACAGGGAGUCCAGUUAGGAAGACAUGCAGUAAUUGAGGCCUGAGAACGAAUGUAAAACCAAUGGAGGGCCCAGGAAGGCAAAUGGAAAAUGAUUAUUGAACAAGCUGAAAACUGCCAAAAAACAUAAACUCUCACUUUGAAGCCAUCAUCUGACUGAAAUGGAGACUGUAAAACUGAGAAUAAUGAUUCUAAAACAACUAAAGUAUAUGUACAAGGCAGAUGACCAGAGGAUAUUGUGAUAUCGAGAGAGGAAGGCCAGGAGGUCAUUUGACAGAGGUCUGGACACGCAGCACUAAGAAAGGAGCAACCGGACAUUUUAAAACAUGAGUCCUGUGAAAUAGUAGUGAACUUGAACAUUAUACUUUUAGGCUUUUCCAAUUUGGAGGCACAAGUAAGUGAGAACUUGGGGAUCCACUGAGGUCUGAGGCAUGGUAGUACCAGAGGAGAUGAAGGGGCUUUCGGCAUGAAGCUGGUCCCCUGUGGACAGCACGCUGAUUUUCCCAUUGGGCUCUAUCAGCAUGUCCACUGUCAGGUUGGUGACAUUGUCUGCAGGUGGGAAUGCUUCAAUCACACCCCCUGGUGGGAAAAACAUGGAGUAGGUGAAAGGACACAUGCAUUUUGUUUGACUUGGGCUCAGAUUCUGCAUCUGCCAUGUCUUGAGAGACUUUGGUGUCUGAUGGGAAAAACAAGGAUUAUACUAAGAAUGGCCUCAGCACCAAUGAAAAUUGUCUUCCUAUCCCUACAAAACAAACCAAAAAAAUACAGCAGGACCUGCAGCUCAUAUAUUCAAGUAAGGUCAGAAAAAUGACAUUCUUGGUAAAAGCUUCAUUUUAUUUUAUCCCCCCAACAAAACAACCCUUUACAGUCUGGUUUCUGCUGGUACUCAGAAGCUGCUUGUGAACUGGUGGGUUAGGCCAGAGCUCAAAUCCAGGAGCAAAGGACUCCAUUGCAGCAGUGGUUUAACAAGCUAAGAACACUCUUUUCCCAAGAAGCAACACGGUCCCAAUGGCCACAAUGGGUCUAUUGACGUCAGAUGCAAGCUCUCAGUUUUUGGGGGGCUUUCUGUUCUCUAGUUUUUAUCAUUUUGCAUAGUUCAAACAUAAUUGCCACAACUUUAAGGGCAGAUGCUGGUAAGGGAAGAUCUGUAGCUAUUCAAGUUUAUUUUGUUCAAAACAAACUUACAUACACACAAACAUACACACACACACACACACACACACCCCUUCCAUAACAGACAAACACUCCAAUUCAUGUGAAUCAUUAGAAUACUAUUUGUAAAAUACUUUGUCUCAUCACAGGUUCACAUUCAUGAUCUCAUUCAGUCCUUUCAGCAACACUCUACAGUGGCCACUACGAUGUUAUUUCUCUUGCUUUAAAAUGGGAGCUGAGGCACUUAGAAUGAAGAGGCUUGUGUAAGAUCACUCGGUGAGCUUCAACAAAUGAUGAAAGACAGAAAAUAACAGUUAAGGAAACCAUUGCUAGCUUGCUUUCUUCCUCCCUUUUCUAUCUUCCCGAAGUGUAUAUAUAUUGAAUAUCUGUUAUAAGCCAGCAACAGGGGCACAUCUUUAUCUCAAAAACUUGUGAAAUGAGGCUGGGCGCGGUGGCUCACGCCUGUAAUCCCAGCACUUUGGGAGGCCGAGGUGGGUGGAUCACUUGAGGUCAGGAGUUCACGACCAGCUUGACCAACAUGGUGAAACCCUGUCUCUACUUAAAAUACAAAAAUUAGCCGGGCAUGGUGGUGGGCACCUGUAAUCCCAGCUACUUGGGAGGCUGAGGCAGGAGAAUUGCUUGAAUCCAGGAGGCAGAGGUUACAGUAAAUUGAGAUCGUGUCAUUGCACUCCAGCCUGGGCAACAAGAGCAAAACUCUGUCUCAAAAAAAAAAAAAAAAAAAAAAAGACAACAAUAACUUGUGAAAUGAGUAGUUAGGAAGAUUUUUUUGCUUUGCAUUGAGUAACAACAAGGUGAUGGACGAUGGACGACCACAUCAGUGUUUCAGAGAGGCUAUUAUCCAUUUUGAACAGAUCAUUUAGAGCUAAUGACUUGGGAAGUGUGGAAGGAAAAAUAUAUACCUUGUUGAUAAUAAACAAGUGCUAGAAAAAAUACAUUUGACUUUUGAAAAAAGUCAGAAUUCCAGAUUUUCAUUCCAUCAUGAUUGCACUGGCUCUGGGAAUGCAAUUAGCGGCUAGCUUUGUGGGGCUGAUGCUCUAGGGCAAUUCCCAUCAGAAGAAACUUCAGCCCCAUCUUUGCCACUGCACAGGCUUGCCUCCACUUUUUCCAGUGCCCACAUUUACCUCUCAGAGUGCAUCAACAAUCGUCACGACCUUGGAAGGUUCCAAGACAUCUGCAGAAGGCACGGGGCUCCACCAGCCUGGCCGAUGCACCCCAGAGAUUCUUGUCUACCAAAUGCUUCUGACAUCCCUACAUGGAGACUGGAGAGUGAAAAGGGCAAGACAAUGACCUGAAAAAGUAAGCAAGAGACUGUCAGUGUUGAAAGGAGCCAUGUGGACUAUCUAGGACAAAUGCCUCGUGUCACAGAAGAGGGAACGAGGGCUUCUUCGGUCAUACUGGGAGGCUGCAGGUGCUCUCUGGCUGCCUCUGACUCCUGGACCAUGCUUGUUAAAAUACCAGGAUGGUAAAUUAGUGAAUUCCAAAGUCAGGAUUUUUGUGGGAUCUGGCACAGUUACAGGAAAGUCUGAGUCUUCUCAAGGGCAUCCCUGUCUCACCGAGGGGCACCAAGGACAGACGACCAGAAGCAAAUGGCGCAGUCACCGUCAGAGGAGAGUAAAACUCAUUCUGAAACCGUUCCAAAUGCCCAUGCCUGCUCUGUGGUUUUCAGCAAAGCGGACCUUUCCAAAAGACCUCCAGUGGGGACUUCCUGGAUGUGAGAACACUAACCAAUUCUCGUUUCUCUCAUCUUUUGCUUUAUUCCUUCCUUCCAUGCUGUUAUUGCAAAAAACUGGCAGUUAAAUUCAAUUGAUUCAAAAUAUUCGGGAUCCAUAUGGCCGCCAACCCUGGAGCUGAAGCGGCGAUAGCGCCUCACUGCUGUUUUCAAGCAUUUGCCUCUCCUCCAGUCCCCAGAUGGUGGGAGUAACAUUUAAACCUCCUUUUCUCUGCCUUGUACAAUAGACCUUGGCACCAUUUCAACUGUUUACUCCGGUAAUUAACAGCUCUGAUACCACAACAAUUACAACUCCUACACUCUCACCACAAUAAUGCUAUGAAUUAGUGAGAGCUAAUGGCUGGAAGGUAGAGUGUUUCCAGACUGUGAGAUCUGUGCAUUUUUAGAAUAAAAUAAAAGGUACAAACAGCACGCUUGCAGUAGACAAUGAUUACCUAGUAAUUAGUUUACACAAAGCUUCCUAUUUAAUGGCAAAACACUGUAAUUAACGUGUGACAGAAAAUCAAAGGGUACUUUGUAAGCAUAUGAAAAAUUAACACUGCAGGCCCAUAGCUUUAUGUACUGAUUAGAAGCAUAUUAAAUCAAUAGGACACACAAACCAACAGCUUGUGUAGCUGAUUAUUAUAGGUCCUCAGAAGGGGUACCCUGGCUUUCAUUUCACUUGGGGAGGCAAUUUUCCUUCUCCUGUCAUCUUCCUCAGGCACAGAGAAACACCUCACACUCAACCCUGGCAGCUUCAUGAAAAUAACUACUGAACUGGAAGAAAACAUUCUAAGUCAUUCUCAGAGAUAAAGACAAAUAUGUAAAUGAUUAAGACUUUCCAAUGAUUGUGGUGACGUGCUGCUACACUAAUUAGAAAAUACACCAACUGGAACCAGAAAAUAAAGCCACUGGGUUGCAAUCUUUCCGUCAGAAUAAUCUCUACUUUGUCAAGCCUCUUUAUUCAACUCAUAGAAAGUUCAAAUAAAUGGAACUGUUUUAUAUUUCUAAAUGAUAAGAAAGCAGGCUGCUAUGAAGACAUUCUUUUCAAGGCACUGUCUGGGUAAAGCAUAGGCUGGGAACAACCGGAUCAACCAAUAUUCUGUAUCUUCAACAGCCACAACCCUAUAUAACGAUGGCUGAUGGACAUAGACAGCAAUAUCCUGGAAGCCUACCAGAGCCUAAAGAACCUUCUAAAUGACCAAAGAAAGAUUAAGUUGUAUGUACUUGUUCAAUGUUACCUGUAUUUUGUUAUAAUACAAUUUUAUGGUAAUAAUAACAAUAAUAAUAGGUAGCAUUUCUUAAAGUCUUAUUAUGUGCUAAGCACACUGCUAGCCAAUUCACAGAAUUAUCUCAUUUACUUGUCACCACUUACCCAUGAGACAGGUACUAAUCUCUCUUUACAGAUAGAGAAAGGAAGACUUGGAGAGCUGAAGUAAUUUGCCUAUGUUAUCCCCCAGGAAGCAUGGGAGUCUAACGUAGGUGUCCCUGACUAUGGAACCCCAGGAAGCCAAACUACCUCUUAGUUACCCUGAAUGACUAGCCUGUUCCAACACUCAUUCUGCUUAAAAGGCAGUUUACUAUGUCAACCUGGAAUAGGAGACUAAAAAAAUUAAAACAAACAAACAAAAUAUUUGGUUGCUUAUUUUUUUAAAAAACAGGGUAUUUCUGCUUUUAGAGAUAGGAGUCUUGUUCUGUCACCCAGGCUGGAGAGUGGUGGUGCAGUCAUGGCUCACUGCAGCCUCAAACUCCUGGGCUCGAGUGAUCCUCUUUCUUCAGGCUUUUAAGUAGCUGGAACUACAGGCACACAGCUAAUUUUUAAAUCUUUUGUAGAGAUAGGGUCUUACUAUAUUGCCCAGGCUGGUCUUGAGCUCCUGGCCUCAAGCCAACUCCCACCUCGGCCUUCCAAAGUGUUGGGAUUACAAAAUAUCACAGGAGUGAUCGACUGCACUGGGCUAAAAACAAGGGUUUUAAAUGCUUACCAUAUUUUUAAUGCUACAUCUGAUGUGAGGGUGGGCUACUCCAAGCUUUUUGGGAAUUUACAGGCUCACUAAAAUGAUCACGAUAGUGUAUUCAAUUGAGAAAGGCAUUGAAAAUCUGUCAUUCCCAUGAACAAUCAAAGGGUGAUGUCUAAAAUUCUCUCUCAUCACCCAUGCACAUAACCAGGUAUGUGAGGCAGUUGGGUUGCAAGAGCUGAAUCCUAGAAACUCCCAAGCAGGGCUCCUCUUCUCCAGCUCUGAGGUAUGUGUAUUGAUGGCCCCCAACACCUCCCGGUUUGCUGCCUUGUGGGAAAAGGAGACCAGCUCAUCAGUCAUCUAGGAAAGGGAAGAAAUUUGAGAGCAGUGGCCUCUGUGUUCCAGGAAUAUUUGUGUUUCCCACAAAUCUCUGGAAAGCAGAAAGCUUGCCACAAGGGCAGCACAUGGUAUGAGUCACAAAGGGAAGGACGUGAGGGAGAAUACUUCCCAGGACUUUCAAAUAAGAAGGUCUUUCCUAAAUGUACUUGGCUCAGUGUGGCAAAAGCACUGGGCAUGCAGCAUUCAGAUGUGGGUUCAAAGCAAGGCACAAUCAUUUAUUAGCUAUAAAUUUGGGCAAGUCACUUCUUGAGAAUAGGCUUCUUCAUCUGUAAACAGAAUAAUAAUACCUUCCUUAUACCUUAAAUUGGUGUGAAAGUAAAUGAGUAAAAACCUCAGAGUUUUUCUGAGUUUAAAUGAGAUAAUUCAUGUAAUGUGCUUAGCACAAUACCUGGUACCCAGUAGGUACUCUGCAGUAUUUAUUUAUGAUGAUGAUGAUGAUGACGAAGAAAUACAAGGAGAUGUCAACACCUUAACAGUGUAUUCAUAGAUCUACAAAAUGCUUAAUCUCAGUGUUCUGGCAACCACUAAAUACAUAAAGAUAAUCUAAGAUGUCAAGAUUUCAACAUAUAAAAAUAAAUAUAAAAACAAGUGAACAAUAAUCAUUUAUAUUAGUUUCAUGACUAGAAAAAAUAAUAACCUAGAUUUUUUCUUAACCUAGAAAAUCUAGAUUAAAAAAAUAAAGAUCUUGCAUUUUUGAUAUAAAACACAAAUAAUAAGGACAUGAAAAAAGAAUAUCCCUUGCUAGUAAUCAAAUAAUGGCAAUGAGAAGCUGGAUUUUUAUAUCUAAAAUAAAAGCGCAAAUAGUUCAUAAUAUCCAUUGGUGGUAAGGUUGUGGUAAAACUAGUAUGCUUAUUCUCUGCUAGUUGCUUUGGAAAUUGGUACUAUCUUCUUAGGAAUAUGGCAAUAUGUAACAAAAGCAAUAAAAUAUUCUACUCCUGAGUCUUUCUUCUAGGGAAGUAACUCAACAGAAGCAAAAAGAGGUGUAUACAAAAACCAAAUAUAAAAACAAACAAAUAUUUCCUCCCUCCUUCCUCCCACCACCAAAAAAUGAAAGCUGGAAAUAGCGUAAAUUUCCAACUUAGUUGAAUUGUUUAAUAUAUUAGAGUUCAUCAAUAUGAGAGAAUAUUAUGCAUCUAAUAAUUGUGAAGACUAUGUAUAAACAUGGAAAAUAUUUAAGAUCUGAUGUUUAACUAGCAUAUACACUAUUAUUGUAGCUAUGAGAAAGAAAUAUUGCAUAUGUAGAAAUUAAUACACAAAAAUGAAAACAACUAUGUUUGGGGAAAGUGAUUAUGUACUUAUUUGGUUAAAUUUGUUUUAAUCUUGUUAUUUUAUCUUUAAACUUUUCUAAAAAUGAUGUGAUUACAAGCAAUGGCUCUUUGGGAUCACCUAAUAAAUACCUACUAAAUUCUACACAGGACAACGAGCUCUGCCAUUCUGCAAUGGCUCCUGUGACCUAGUUCCAGGGCCAUUCUGAAUGGACAGAGAUCUUCACAAUGGAGGUGGAGAUGCAGGGAGUUCUAUGGCAUGAAAUGGUUAAUGAUUCUCUUUUGUAAUUGUGUUUUCUGUUUGUUGCCUUAGUUCUAAAAGGAGGCAAAACAACUGUGGUUUAUUCUACCUUUUCCAGGCAUAGUUCUUCUCUUACCUUUGUGAUCCCUAAAUUAAUAUCAAAUGUCUAAUUAGUUUUUUCCUCCAUUGGUGAUCCCCAAAUUAAUAUCAAAUGUCAAACAAAGUAAAUCAAAGUACAAAUAAAGGUAAAACUGCUCUUGCAAAAGGCUAAAAUAGCAAUGUUUACUAGAAGCAUUCAAGAGCCAGUUCAAUUUCCUUUUUCUCAUUAAGUGGUAAAAUAGUAAUGCCAAGACCACAUCCCAGAAUCUCCAGGGUAACAGAGGCCCCACGAAGGGCUGCACAGAGAAACUUGAAAGUAAACUGGCUUAGUUCUUUACACACAGAAAUUGUUCUACAAAGAUCUCUUGCAAAGCAGUGUCACCAGUAGCAUCACUGCCACUAAGCCAAUGUCCCAGGAAUUGAGGAAAGGAAGACACCCUUAAAGAAAAAAAUGGAAAAAAGCCACAAGGACUAGUACCACAGUGUCUGCCUGGGUCUCCCUAGACUGUCUUAGGUGAGUUUACCCAGGAAUGUUUCUCCCCUACAUGUUUGUCUUCCUUUGUUUAAGCCUUUAUUCCUCCUAAAUGAAAAUAAAUACCCCCGACUGGGGAACGGGGA